AGUGAACGCUGGCGGUAGGCCUAACACAUGCAAGUCGAACGGCAGCACAGGAGAGCUUGCUCUCUGGGUGGCGAGUGGCGGACGGGUGAGGAAUACAUCGGAAUCUACUUUUUCGUGGAGGAUAACGUAGGGAAACUUACGCUAAUACCGCAUACGACCUACGGGUGAAAGCAGGGGAUCUUCGGACCUUGCGCGAUUGAAUGAGCCGAUGUCGGAUUAGCUAGUUGGCGGGGUAAAGGCCCACCAAGGCGACGAUCCGCAGCUGGUCUGAGAGGAUGAUCAGCCACACUGGAACUGAGACACGGUCCAGACUCCUACGGGAGGCAGCAGUGGGGAAUAUUGGACAAUGGGCGCAAGCCUGAUCCAGCCAUACCGCGUGGGUGAAGAAGGCCUUCGGGUUGUAAAGCCCUUUUGUUGGGAAAGAAAUCCAGCUGGUUAAUACCCGGUUGGGAUGACGGUACCCAAAGAAUAAGCACCGGCUAACUUCGUGCCAGCAGCCGCGGUAA
rnacentral:rRNA from 1 species